rnacentral:rRNA from 1 species
UACGGAGGGGGCUAGCGUUGUUCGGAAUGACUGGGCGUAAAGGGCGCGUAGGCGGCGAUCCAAGUUAGAUGUGAAAGGCCUGGGCUCAACCCGGGAACUGCAUUUGAUACUGGAUUGCUUGAGUCCGGGAGAGGAUGGCGGAAUUCCCAGUGUAGAGGUGAAAUUCGUAGAUAUUGGGAAGAACACCAGUGGCGAAGGCGGCCAUCUGGACCGGUACUGACGCUGAGGCGCGAAAGCGUGGGGAGCAAACAGG